GACGAACGCUGGCGGCAGGCCUAACACAUGCAAGUCGAACGAGAUCUUCGGAUCUAGUGGCGGACGGGUGAGUAACACGUAAGAAUUUACCUUUAGGAGGGGGAUAACAACGAGAAAUUGUUGCUAAUACCCCAUAUGCUUUCGAGUGAAAUGGAUUUUUCCGCCUAGAGAGAAGCUUGCGCCUGAUUAGCUUGUUGGUAAGGUAAUGGCUUACCAAGGCGACGAUCAGUAUCUGGUUUGAGAGGAUGAUCAGACACACUGGAACUGAGACACGGUCCAGACUCCUACGGGAGCAGCAGUGGGAAUUUUCCGCAAUGGGCGAAAGCCUGACGGAGCAAUCUCGCGUGAGGGAUGACGGCCUAU
rnacentral:rRNA from 1 species